UUUAUGGAGAGUUUGAUCCUGGCUCAGAGUGAACGCUGGCGGCGUGCCUAAUACAUGCAAGUCGAACGAUGAAGCUUCUAGCUUGCUAGAAUGCUGAUUAGUGGCGCACGGGUGAGUAACGCAUAGGUCAUGUGCCUCUUAGUUUGGGAUAGCCAUUGGAAACGAUGAUUAAUACCAGAUACUCCCUACGGGGGAAAGAUUUAUCGCUAAGAGAUCAGCCUAUGUCCUAUCAGCUUGUUGGUAAGGUAAUGGCUUACCAAGGCUAUGACGGGUAUCCGGCCUGAGAGGGUGAACGGACACACUGGAACUGAGACACGGUCCAGACUCCUACGGGAGGCAGCAGUAGGGAAUAUUGCUCAAUGGGGGAAACCCUGAAGCAGCAACGCCGCGUGGAGGAUGAAGGUUUUAGGAUUGUAAACUCCUUUUGUUAGAGAAGAUAAUGACGGUAUCUAACGAAUAAGCACCGGCUAACUCCGUGCCAGCAGCCGCGGUAAUACGGAGGGUGCAAGCGUUACUCGGAAUCACUGGGCGUAAAGAGCGCGUAGGCGGGAUAGUCAGUCAGGUGUGAAAUCCUAUGGCUUAACCAUAGAACUGCAUUUGAAACUACUAUUCUAGAGUGUGGGAGAGGUAGGUGGAAUUCUUGGUGUAGGGGUAAAAUCCGUAGAGAUCAAGAGGAAUACUCAUUGCGAAGGCGACCUGCUGGAACAUUACUGACGCUGAUUGCACGAAAGCGUGGGGAGCAAACAGGAUUAGAUACCCUGGUAGUCCACGCCCUAAACGAUGGAUGCUAGUUGUUGGAGGGCUUAGUCUUUCCAGUAAUGCAGCUAACGCAUUAAGCAUCCCGCCUGGGGAGUACGGUCGCAAGAUUAAAACUCAAAGGAAUAGACGGGGACCCGCACAAGCGGUGGAGCAUGUGGUUUAAUUCGAAGAUACACGAAGAACCUUACCUAGGCUUGACAUUGAGAGAAUCCGCUAGAAAUAGUGGAGUGUCUGGCUUGCCAGACCUUGAAAACAGGUGCUGCACGGCUGUCGUCAGCUCGUGUCGUGAGAUGUUGGGUUAAGUCCCGCAACGAGCGCAACCCCCUUUCUUAGUUGCUAACAGGUCAUGCUGAGAACUCUAAGGAUACUGCCUCCGUAAGGAGGAGGAAGGUGGGGACGACGUCAAGUCAUCAUGGCCCUUACGCCUAGGGCUACACACGUGCUACAAUGGGGUGCACAAAGAGAAGCAAUACUGCGAAGUGGAGCCAAUCUUCAAAACACCUCUCAGUUCGGAUUGUAGGCUGCAACUCGCCUGCAUGAAGCUGGAAUCGCUAGUAAUCGCAAAUCAGCCAUGUUGCGGUGAAUACGUUCCCGGGUCUUGUACUCACCGCCCGUCACACCAUGGGAGUUGUGUUUGCCUUAAGUCAGGAUGCUAAAUUGGCUACUGCCCACGGCACACACAGCGACUGGGGUGAAGUCGUAACAAGGUAACCGUAGGUGAACCUGCGGUUGGAUCACCUCCUUUCUAGA
rnacentral:rRNA from 1 species